rnacentral:rRNA from 1 species
GCCAGACUCCUACGGGAGGCAGCAGUGGGGGAUAUUGCACAAUGGGGGGAACCCUGAUGCAGCGACGCCGCGUGGGUGAAGGAGUGCUUCGGCAUGUAAAGCCCUAUCGGCAGGGAAGAAGCAAGACGGUACCUGACUAAGAAGCCCCGGCUAACUACGUGCCAGCAGCCGCGGUAAUACGUAGGGGGCAAGCGUUAUCCGGAUUUACUGGGUGUAAAGGGAGCGUAGACGGCGGCGCAAGCCAGAUGUGAAAGCCCGGGGCUCAACUCCGGGACUGCAUUUGGAACUGUGUGGCUGGAGUGUCGGAGAGGCAGGCGGAAUUCCUAGUGUAGCGGUGAAAUGCGUAGAUAUCAGGAGGAACACCGGCGGCGAAGGCGGCCUGCUGGACCGCGACUGACGUUGAGGCUCGAAAGCGUGGGGAGCGAACAGGAUUAGAUACCCUUGUAA